AUAGAAAGUUACUUCGGUACAUCGGUGACAGGUGGUGCAUGGUUGUCGUCAGCUCGUGUCGUGAGAUGUUGGGUUAAGUCCCGCAACAGCGCAACCCCUAUUGUUAGUUGCCAUCAUUCAGUUGGGCACUCUAGCGAGACUGCCGGUAAUAAACCGGAGGAAGGUGGGGAUGACGUCAAAUCAUCAUGCCCCUUAUGACCUGGGCUACACACGUGCUACAAUGGUUGGUACAACGAGUUGCGAGUCGGUGACGGCGAGCUAAUCUCUUAAAGCCAAUCUCAGUUCGGAUUGUAGGCUGCAACUCGCCUACAUGAAGUCGGAAUCGCUAGUAAUCGCGGAUCAGCACGCCGCGGUGAAUACGUUCCCGGGCCUU
rnacentral:rRNA from 1 species